AGAGUUUGAUCCUGGCUCAGGAUGAACGCUAGCUACAGGCUUAACACAUGCAAGUCGAGGGGAAACGACGUUGAGGGCUUGCCCUCAUCGGGCGUCGACCGGCGCACGGGUGAGUAACGCGUAUCCAACCUGCCCCCUACAGGGGAAUAAUCCGUCGAAAGGCGGUCUAAUGCCCCAUAGGUUCCGAGGCGGACAUCCAAAUUGGAAGAAAGUGGCGACACGGUAGGGGAUGGGGAUGCGUCCGAUUAGGUUGUUGGCGGGGCAACGGCCCACCAAGCCGUCGAUCGGUAGGGGUUCUGAGAGGAAGGUCCCCCACAUUGGAACUGAGACACGGUCCAAACUCCUACGGGAGGCAGCAGUGAGGAAUAUUGGUCAAUGGACGAGAGUCUGAACCAGCCAAGUAGCGUGCAGGAUGACGGCCCUAUGGGUUGUAAACUGCUUUUGUACGGGGAUAAAGUGAGCCACGCGUGGCUUAUUGCAGGUACCGUACGAAUAAGGACCGGCUAAUUCCGUGCCAGCAGCCGCGGUAAUACGGAAGGUCCGGGCGUUAUCCGGAUUUAUUGGGUUUAAAGGGAGCGCAGGCCGCAGGUUAAGCGUGUUGUGAAAUGCAGGGGCCCAACCUUUGCACUGCAGCGCGAACUGGUCUGCUUGAGUGCGCGCAACGUCAGCGGAAUUUGUCGUGUAGCGGUGAAAUGCUUAGAUAUGACGAAGAACUCCGAUUGCGAAGGCAGCUGACGGGAGCGCAACUGACGCUGAGGCUCGAAAGUGCGGGUAUCGAACAGGAUUAGAUACCCUGGUAGUCCGCACGGUAAACGAUGGAUGCCCGCUUUUCGCCCUUCGGGGCGUGAGGCCAAGCGAAAGCGUUAAGCAUCCCACCUGGGGAGUACGCCGGCAACGGUGAAACUCAAAGGAAUUGACGGGGGCCCG
rnacentral:rRNA from 1 species